rnacentral:rRNA from 1 species
GACGAACGCUGGCGGCGUGCUUAACACAUGCAAGUCGAACGAAGUGGCGAACGGGUGCGUAACGCGUAAUCAACCUGCCCUUCAGAGGGGGACAACAGCUGGAAAUGACUGCUAAUACCGCAUACUGAAGGAGGGGAUUGCGUCGGAUUAGCUAGUUGGAGGGGUAACGGCCCACCAAGGCGAUUAUCAAUAGCGGGUCUGAGAGGAUGAACGGCCCAAGUGGGACUGAGACACGGCCCAGACUCCUACGGAAGGCAGCAGUGGGGAAUCUUCCGAAAUGGACGAAAGUCUGACGGAGCAACUCCGCGAGAGGGAUGACGGCCUUCGGGUUGUAAAGCUCUGUUAAUCGGGACGCGGUACCGAAAUAGAAAGCCACGGCUAACUACGUGCCAGCAGCCGCGGUAAUUC